GACCUUUGUCAGCAAGUCCUGGUGCUUGCCUGAUGAAGUGAGCUACUCAGGCAGUUCAGGGUGAAGACCACAGGGAGCACCACAAAGAGCUGCAGGACUCACCAUUAACAGAGAGAGAAAUUAUAACCUGUGUCCAGCAAGCUCACUGCCUGGCAAUCUUCCUCCCUUUCAUUUGCAGUGGCACACUAAAAGCUGGCAAGACAGACUUUAUGCAAAGCCCUUCUGCAAUAAAGGAAACUUCUCUGCAGACAAAUGUUGGAUUAAACAAAUUCCCUGAUCCAAGUGGUAGGGCACAGAUUUUGCUCCUGUUCUCUGAGAUGAGUCUCUUACCAGCUGUAAUGCCUAUGAACAUUUG